UACGAAGGGGGGCUAGCGUUGUUCGGAAUUACUGGGCGUAAAGCGCACGUAGGCGGCUUUGCAGGUCAGAGGUGAAAGCCCGGGGCUCAACCCCGGAAUAGCCUUUGAGACUGCAUCGCUAGAAUUGUGGAGAGGUAAGUGGAAUUCCGAGUGUAGAGGUGAAAUUCGUAGAUAUUCGGAAGAACACCAGUGGCGAAGGCGACUUACUGGACACAUAUUGACGCUGAACGGCGAAAGCUAGGGGAGCAAACGGG
rnacentral:rRNA from 1 species